rnacentral:tRNA from 2 species
ACCUAAAUAGCUUAUAUAGAGUGUGACAUUGAAGAUGUUAAGGAAUUAUGUUUAAUUUUAGGUG